GGGGGCCUACGGGAGCCAGCAGUGGGGAAUCUUAGACAAUGGGCGCAAGCCUGAUCUAGCCAUGCCGCGUGAGUGAUGAAGGCCUUAGGGUCGUAAAGCUCUUUCGCCAGGGAUGAUAAUGACAGUACCUGGUAAAGAAACCCCGGCUAACUCCGUGCCAGCAGCCGCGGUAAUACGGAGGGGGUUAGCGUUGUUCGGAAUUACUGGGCGUAAAGCGCGCGUAGGCGGAUUAGUCAGUUAGAGGUGAAAUCCCAGGGCUCAACCCUGGAACUGCCUUUAAUACUGCUAGUCUUGAGUUCGAGAGAGGUGAGUGGAAUUCCGAGUGUAGAGGUGAAAUUCGUAGAUAUUCGGAGGAACACCAGUGGCGAAGGCGGCUCACUGGCUCGAUACUGACGCUGAGGUGCGAAAGUGUGGGGAGCAAACAGGAUUAGAUACCCUGGUAGUCCACACCGUAAACGAUGAAUGCCAGUCGUCGGGUAGUAUACUAUUCGGUGACACACCCUAACGGAUUAAGCAUUCCGCCUGGGAGUACGGUCGCAAGAUAA
rnacentral:rRNA from 1 species